GAUGAACGCUGGCGGCGUGCCUAAUACAUGCAAGUCGAGCGAACAGACGAGGAGCUUGCUCCUCUGACGUUAGCGGCGGACGGGUGAGUAACACGUGGAUAACCUACCUAUAAGACUGGGAUAACUUCGGGAAACCGGAGCUAAUACCGGAUAACAUGUUGAACCGCAUGGUUCAACAGUGAAAGACGGUCUUGCUGUCACCUAUAGAUGGAUCCGCGCCGCAUUAGCUAGUUGGUCAGGUAACGGCUUACCAAGGCAACGAUGCGUAGCCGACCUGAGAGGGUGAGCGGCCACGCUGGAACUGAGACACGGUCCAGACUCCUACGGGAGGCAGCAGUAGGGAAUCUGGCGCAAUGGGCGAAAGCCUGACGGAGCAACGCCGCGUGAGUGAAGAAGGUCGUCGGAUCGUAAAACGCUGUUAUUAGGGAAGAACAAAUGUGUAAGUAACUAUGCACGUCUUGACGGUACCUGAUCAGAAAGCCACGGCUAACUACGUG
rnacentral:rRNA from 1 species